GUCUAGGGCCACACCACCCUGAACGCGCCUGAUCUCGUCUGAUCUUGAAAGCAAAGCAGGGGUUGGGCUUGGUUAGUACUUGGAUGAAGAAGUGGGUGAGGAUAUCUCAUUAUUUUUUUCC
rnacentral:rRNA from 1 species